GCUAACCUAAAUUACAGUUAACUCAUCGGCCUCCUAAGCCGAAGAUUCUCGGUUCGAGUCCGAGGCAUGGCG
rnacentral:tRNA from 1 species